GCGCACGCUGGCGGCAGGCCUAACACAUGCAAGUCGAACGGAUCCUUCGGGAUUAGUGGCGGACGGGUGAGUAACACGUGGGAACGUGCCCUUUGGUUCGGAACAACUCAGGGAAACUUGAGCUAAUACCGGAUGUGCCCUUCGGGGGAAAGAUUUAUCGCCAUUGGAGCGGCCCGCGUCUGAUUAGCUAGUUGGUGAGGUAACGGCCCACCAAGGCGACGAUCAGUAGCUGGUCUGAGAGGAUGAUCAGCCACACUGGGACUGAGACACGGCCCAGACUCCUACGGGAGGCAGCAGUGGGGAAUCUUGCGCAAUGGGCGAAAGCCUGACGCAGCCAUGCCGCGUGAAUGAUGAAGGUCUUAGGAUUGUAAAAUUCUUUCAGCGGGGACGAUAAUGACGGUACCCGCAGAAGAAGCUCCGGCGAACUUCGU
rnacentral:rRNA from 1 species